rnacentral:rRNA from 1 species
UCCUAGCGGUCCAAGUCGCAGCCAUCAUUAUUGGGUCUAAAACAUCCGUAGCUUGUUUAAUAAGUUCCUUGUGAAAUCUUAGCUCUUAAGGCUAAGGCGUGCAAGGGAUACUGCUAAGCUAGAGACUGGAAGACGUAAGAAGUAUGUUCAAAGUAGCGGUAAAAUGUGUUAAUCUUGAGCAGACUCACAACAGCGAAGGCAUCUUACGAGGACAGUUCUGACAGUAAAGGAUGAAGGCUAGGGGCGCGAAGUGG